AUUGAACGCUAGCGGGAUGCUUUACACAUGCAAGUCGAACGGCAGCGCGGACUUCGGUCUGGCGGCGAGUGGCGAACGGGUGAGUAAUGUAUCGGAACGUGCCCAGUAGCGGGGGAUAACUACGCGAAAGCGUAGCUAAUACCGCAUACGCCCUACGGGGGAAAGGGGGGGAUCGCAAGACCUCUCACUAUUGGAGCGGCCGAUAUCGGAUUAGCUAGUUGGUGAGGUAAAGGCUCACCAAGGCGACGAUCCGUAGCUGGUUUGAGAGGACGACAAGCCACACGGGGACUGAGACACGGCCCAGACUCCUACGGGAGGCAGCAGUGGGGAAUUUUGGGCAAUGGGGGCAACCCUGAUCCAGCCAUCCCGCGUGUGCGAUGAAGGCCUUCGGGUUGUAAAGCACUUUUGGCAGGGAGGAAAAGUUUCGGGCUAAUACCCUGGAGCGAUGACGGUACCUGCAGAAUAAGCACCGGCUAACUACGUGCCAGCCGCCGCAGUAA
rnacentral:rRNA from 1 species